GAGAGCACAGUACGAUGAAAGUUGUAAGCUGUGUUCGGGGGGGAGUUAUUGUCUAUCGUCGGCCUCUAUGGUAGAAUCAGUCGGGGGCCCGAGAGGCGGUGGUUUACCCUGU
rfam:Populus trichocarpa chloroplast, complete genome.